rnacentral:rRNA from 1 species
GACGAACGCUGGCGGCGUGCCUAAUACAUGCAAGUAGAACGCUGAAGGAGGAGCUUGCUUCUCUGGAUGAGUUGCGAACGGGUGAGUAACGCGUAGGUAACCUGCCUGGUAGCGGGGGAUAACUAUUGGAAACGAUAGCUAAUACCGCAUAAGAGUAGAUGUUGCAUGACAUUUGCUUAAAAGGUGCAAUUGCAUCACUACCAGAUGGACCUGCGUUGUAUUAGCUAGUUGGUGGGGUAACGGCUCACCAAGGCGACGAUACAUAGCCGACCUGAGAGGGUGAUCGGCCACACUGGGACUGAGACACGGCCCAGACUCCUACGGGAGGCAGCAGUAGGGAACUCUUCGGCAAUGGACGGAAGUCUGACCGAGCACACGCCUGCGUGAGUGAAGAAGGUUUUCGGCAUCGUAAAGUCUCUGUUGUAAGAGAAGACACGCUAGUGUGAGAGUGGAAAGUUCACACUGUGACGUGCUAUCUCUACCAGACA